rnacentral:rRNA from 1 species
UACAGAGGUGGCAAGCGUUGUUCGGAAUUACUGGGCGUAAAGGGCGCGUGGGCGGUCUUGUAAGUCUUGUGUGAAAUCCCUCGGCUUAACUGAGGAACUGCACGGGAUACUGCGAGACUUGAGAUCGGGAGAGGGAAGCGGAAUUCCGGGUGUAGCGGUGAAAUGCGUAGAUAUCCGGAGGAACACCGGUGGCGAAGGCGGCUUCCUGGACCGACACUGACGCUGAGGCGCGAAAGCUAGGGGAGCAAACGGG